UACAGAGGGGGCAAGCGUUAUUCGGAAUUAUUGGGCGUAAAGGGCGCGUAGGCGGCUUUUCAAGUGACGGGUGAAAUCCCUCGGCUUAACCGAGGAACUGCCUGUCAGACUGGAAGGCUUGAGACCGGGAGAGGUGAGUGGAAUUCCCAGUGUAGCGGUGAAAUGCGUAGAUAUUGGGAGGAACACCAGUGGCGAAAGGCGG
rnacentral:rRNA from 1 species